AAAAACAAAAAAAAAAAAAAAAAAAAAAAAUUACAAGUGAAAAAUGUGUACAAAAUAAUGUUAAAUUAUAUAAAAUAACCGUUUUGACGUGAAUUUAAGUUAAAUGAGAGAAAAAAUUGAAAAUACAAAGGGUCUAACAAAAGUCGAAGUCAGACUUUUCUAUUUUAGUACUAUAUUAAAUUAUAUAAAAUAACUAUUUUUUUAAAAAAAUUAUACUAAUAGAGAGAGAAGAUAUGGAUGAAAAGGAUCACCACCUAAAUUUUAUUUGAACAUAAUAUAUAGUUGUUGGCUUAAAUGGGCCAGCAUCCUACCCUGUGGCGGGAGGCCAUGUGGGUCGAGUCAUGUUUGAAAUGGCGUGAGGCUGGGUUCGGCCGAGUCAUGUUCGAAGUGGCGUGAGGCCAGAUGGGCCGAGUCACAAUCGAGACCCGUGGACGCUGUUUCUGUAUGCUUUAAGUGAAUUGGUUGCGUAUUUCUGACAGCUCGAGCUUUUGGGAUUAAUGGUUAGUGCCAACGAUCCGACAAGUGGUUUUAGAGACAGAGGUCAUGGGUUCGAUUCCUACAUGCUGCAAAUGUGUCCAGGUGCUGGAGGGGGAUUGUUGGCUUAAAUGGGCCAGCAUCCUGCCCUGUGGCGGGAGGCCAUGUGGGCCGAGUCAUGUUCGAAGUGGCUUGAGGCCAGGUGGGCCGAGUUACUAUCGAGACCCAUGGGCGCUGUUUCUGUACGCUUUAAGUGAAUUGGUUGGGUAUUUCUAACUGCUCAAGCUUUUGGGAUUAAUGAUUAACGCUAACAAUCCGACAAUAGUUUGCUUGUAGGGAAUGUGGU
rnacentral:lncRNA from 1 species